CCCCCAGGAUUUGAUCAAUGGCACUGUGGGCCAGUCUGUGCUCCUGCCCAUCUCUUAUAAAUUCAAUAACAUCUCUCUCUUUCCACUGGCAAUUCAGUGGGCAUUCAAUAACCCCUCAAACUGGGUCAUCAGCUGCACAGUGCACAACUGUUCAGUGGGUCCUGACGGGGUUCUCAAGAAUUGCUCUGCAAGCUAUUUCUCACACAACACGUACCGGGGUCGUGUUGUACUUUUCCCUGAGAACGCAUCCUUGCUGCUCCGGGACCUGCAGCUCAGCGACAGUGGGGUCUACAUCGUCACCUUCAAACAGCAGAUCCUGACCAAGAACAUCACCCUAACUGUGCACAGCCCUCACUUCAACCUUAAAAACCCAGGUCUCCAAUCCAGAGGAGUCUCCCAUGGAAUGUACCAUGAUGAGGGAUACAGCAACUGUUUAUGCCACAGUUGGAAACAACUUUGAACAGCCACAGCAGAGAGCAACACCAGAGACCGUGUACACAUCUGUAACCUUCAGUGGCCCACCAGGAAGACGUUGACCACGGUCAUCUUGAGCAGCAAUUGUGCAUCUGCCUGGAGUGGGAGCCUUGAACUUUGCUGAAGUUUGGACCUUUGGACCUUAUUUUAAAGCCACCACAAUUUGUGAGCUACUUUCCUCAACAGAUGCUGGUUUGCCGUCCGUUGGAGCUGCGGGGGACCAGCUGGGUGCUGCUUGCAGGGCUGUUAGUGCCCGUGCAAUGGGCUGCAGAACCAGGAGGACCUCUGGAAAGAAAAGCUGCCGCUGUGGGAUCCUCAGUGCUGCUUCCCGUGCCAGAUAAUGUCACACAGAUACRCUCUGUGCAGUGGGAGUACCUCAACGGCACCGAGUCCCACGCCAUCCUCCAGCACUACAGAGGGUCACACAGUCCAACUGUCUGUGCACCAUACGCUGGUCGAGCCAUUUUCCAUCCAUCCAAUGGAUCUCUCUUGCUGGA